rnacentral:rRNA from 1 species
AGUGAACGCUGGCGGUAGGCCUAACACAUGCAAGUCGAACGGCAGCACAGUAAGAGCUUGCUCUUACGGGUGGCGAGUGGCGGACGGGUGAGGAAUACAUCGGAAUCUACUUUUUCGUGGGGGAUAACGUAGGGAAACUUACGCUAAUACCGCAUACGACCUACGGGUGAAAGCAGGGGAUCUUCGGACCUUGCGCGAUUGAAUGAGCCGAUGUCGGAUUAGCUAGUUGGCGGGGUAAAGGCCCACCAAGGCGACGAUCCGUAGCUGGUCUGAGAGGAUGAUCAGGCACACUGGAACUGAGACACGGUCCAGGAUCCUACGGGAGGCAGCAGUUGGGAAUAUUGGACAAUGGGGGCAAGCCUGAUCCAGCCAUACCGCGGGGGUGAAGAAGGCCUUCGGGGUGGAAAGGCCCUUUGUUGGGGAAGAAAAGCAGCAGGGUAAUACCCCGCUGGUCUGAAGGGAACCAAAGAAUAAGCACCGGCUAACUUCGUG